AAAGGGUCAUGGUUAAUUAUUAGGGCAAGCCUAGUUCGCAUUUAUAUAGCUAGCCAUUGUAUCCUUUUCAAAAUCCAGUGGAUUGCCAAGACAUAAAUUUCACUGCAAGGAUUAUUUGAUGUUGCCAACUAGCCUCAUCCAGGAUUCAAACUUCAGUGGUAGCAUCCUAUCAUAUAUAUAUCGAAGGAGGUUCAUAUAUAGAUGUUGUUUACGGGCAAUUUUUUCUCCUUUUUUCUGUGUGUGUUUGGUGAUGGGAUUACAAGGGUCUCAACCCCAAACAUGCUUGCUUGUUGCAAAGUUGCAUUUGAACCUCACCCAAACACCAACCAAAACCUCAAUAUAUAAAAAGAAGAAACAACUGAUGAGAAACAAAUACUACGUGCACUUGAUCUCAGUCAAAAGGCCAGGAAAGAUAUAAAAGAAGAGAGGAAAGAUAUAAAAGAAGAAGAAGAAGCAAAUCUGGUGAGAGUUGGCCUAUUUUCACUUUAAUGAGCAGAUUGCCAGACACCUCUAAACAACUACUUAUUCUUUUUUCUAGAAAAAAGUAUAGAAUAAAUUCGAUCAAUAAAGUACGUCAUGUAAUGAUAUGAUGCUGUGACACCACCCCGCCCGGCCCCCCUCCGCCAACCAAAGAAACAAAAAGCCAACUCCAUUGCUGCUCUCACUACUUAAGGUCACCGUUUCUUUCCAUUUACCAAACUUACACGGCUUCACAAAAAGGCAGUAUAGCUGUAAAGCUUUUAGUUCCCUUCUGAACAGGAGAGCAUCAUUAUGGUUGAUCUACUGGAGUCAAGGGAGACUCUUACCAUGGUGAAAGGAUACUAUGGGCCCGUGAGAGGAAAGAAUCCAGCUGCCGUUAAAUCACUCACUUUUGGCACCAAUAGAGCUACAUACGGACCGUUUGGCAUUGAGGAGGGAACACCCUUUCGUUUCAAUAUUCCAUGCGGUGUUAGUUUUGGGGGGUUCCAUGGGCGUUCUGAUGAUCGUUAUCUUCGUGCAAUUGGCAUAUAUGUCAAGCCCAUUGCUGAUUUCCAUCUCGACCCAAGACCUUCGGAAGUUGAUUUUACAUGUAUGUCUGGUUCGGCGCGCUAGAAAGCUAUAGCUAGGUUUGGUCGAUCUUUUUUUCUCAUGCAUCGCAUUCCAUUGCCCUUCCUUAAUUAUGCCAAAGCAUUAAGCAUUAAUCUGCAGAUGCGACAAUAUUCAUGUUUGACUACCGCAUGUAAUUAAGCUUUCUUCCUUUUUCUCAUGUAUCGCAUACCAUUGCCUUUCCUUAAUUAUGCGAAAGCGUUAAGCAUUAAUCUGCCAAUGCGACAAUUUCAUGUUCGACUACCACAUGCAAGCUUACUUCCUGAAGUGAGUUAAUUGUAUCCCAUGAUAAAAGUCAUGGGCAUGAAUUUCCUUUUGAUGUAAUUAUUUUGGAAGCAUUUUACUACUUGCCAACUAUUGGAAUAUCUUAGGAUUCAUUUGGUUUGCAGAAAAAGGAGAAGGAAAAAUGUGGUCGGUAGAAAUAUGGAGAAAAGCCUCAUGUUCAAU